UCUUAAGUACAUUCCUACACCAUAGAAUUAAUGCAUUGGAUCCCAUUAGAACUUCUUAGUUAAGCGCGUUGAGGCUAGAGUAGUACUGGGAUGGGUGACCAUUUGGGAAGUCCUAGUGUUUUACAUGAC
rnacentral:rRNA from 1 species